rnacentral:rRNA from 1 species
AAGGAAUAUUGGACAAUGGAGGCAACUCUGAUCCAGCCAUGCCGCGUGAAGGAAUAAGGCCCUAUGGGUUGUAAACUUCUUUUAGACGGGACAAAACCCCUUUACGUGUAAAGGGUUGAUGGUACUGUCAGAAUAAGCAUCGGCUAACUUCGUGCCAGCAGCCGCGGUAAUACGAAGGAUGCAAGCGUUAUCCGGAAUUAUUGGGUUUAAAGGGUGCGUAGGCGGACUAAUAAGUCAGUGGUGAAAGCCUGCAGCUUAACUGCAGAAUUGCCAUUGAUACUGUUAGUCUUGAGUACAGUUGAGGUAGGCGGAAUGUGUCAUGUAGCGGUGAAAUGCUUAGAUAUGACACAGAACACUGAUUGCGAAGGCAGCUUGCUAAGCUGUAACUGACGCUGAGGCACGAAAGCGUGGGGAGCAAAC